GACGAACGCUGGCGGCGUGCUUAACACAUGCAAGUCGAACGGAAAGGCCCUGCUCUUGUGGGGUGCUCGAGUGGCGAACGGGUGAGUAACACGUGAGUAACCUGCCCUUGACUUUGGGAUAACUUCAGGAAACUGGGGCUAAUACCGGAUAGGAGCUCCUGCUGCAUGGUGGGGGUUGGAAAGUGUCGGCGGUUGGGGAUGGACUCGCGGCUUAUCAGCUUGUUGGUGGGGUAGUGGCUUACCAAGGCUUUGACGGGUAGCCGGCCUGAGAGGGUGACCGGGCACCUUGGGCCUGAGAUACGGCCCAGACUCCAACGGGAGGCAGCAGUGGGGAAUAUUGCACAGUGGGCGGAAGCGUGAUGCAGCAACGCCGCGUGCGGGAUGACGGCCUUCGGGUUGUAAACCGCUUUCGCCUGUGACGAAGCGUGAGUGACGGUAAUGGGUAAAGAAGCACCGGCUAACUACGUG
rnacentral:rRNA from 1 species